GGUGCUUGACUCUAAGUUGCUAUAAAUAUCAGACAUUCUGUCAGCAGCUCAGGGUCACAGCUCAGGUUUCCUGAGCUAAUAUCGCUUGCCCCUAUGCCUUGAGUUGUGUCAGUUAAAGGCAGUGGCUGGGCAGGCAAAGUGAAGUGCAAAAUACAGGUGGCUUAAAUCUCUGAGCUCCAAUUUCCCCUUAUCUGUGAAAUGGAAGGAACCCACAUAGAUUGACUUCUCAGUUUGUGGCGAGGAUUACAUGAACUACUAUGCUUAUAAGCAAAAAUAGAGUCUUUGCCGCCGCGCCGGCGAGCGCCGCCCGGGAGGCAGCGGCUGGAGGAGCGGACGGGCCCCGCGGGGCCCGAGGGCAAGGAGCAGCCGCCUGCCUUGGCCUCCCAAAGUGCCGAGAUUGCAGCCUCUGCCCGGCUGCCACCCCGUCUGGGAAGUGAGGAGUGUUUCUGCCUGGCCGCCCAUCGUCUGGGAUGUGAGGAGCCCCUCUGCCUGGCUGCCCAGUCUGGAAAGUGAGGAGCGUCUCCGCCCGGCCGCCAUCCCAUCUAGGAAGUGAGGAGCGCCUCUUCCCAGCCGCCAUCACAUCUAGGAAGUGAGGAGCGUCUCUGCCCGGCCGCCCAUCGUCUGAGAUGUGGGGAGCGCCUCUGCCCCGCUGCCCCAUCUGGGAUGUGAGGAGCGCCUCUGCCCGGCCGAGACCCCGUCUGGGAGGUGAGGAGCGUCUCUGCCCGGCCGCCCCGUCUGAGAAGUGAGGAGACCCUCUGUCUGGCAACCACCCCGUCUGAGAAGUGAGGAGCCCCUCCGCCCGGCAGCUGCCCCGUCUGAGAAGGGAGGAGCCUCUCCGCCCGGCAGCCACCCCAUCUGGGAAGUGAGGAGCGUCUCCGCCCGGCAGCCACCCCGUCCGGCAGGGAGGUGGGGGGGUCAGCCCCCCGCCCGGCCAGCCGCCCCGUCCGGGAGGUGAGGGGCGCCUCUGCCCGGCCGCCCCUACUGGGAAGUGAGGAGCCCCUCUGCCCGGCCAGCCGCCCCGCCCGGGAGAGAGGUGGGGGUGUCAGCCCCCCGCCCGGCCAGCCGCCCCGUCCGGGAGGGAGGUGGUGGGGGUCAGCCCCCGCACCCGGCCAGCCGCCCCGUCCGGGAGGUGAGGGGCGCCUCUGCCCGGCCGCCCCUACUGGGAAGUGAGGAGCCCCUCUGCCCGGCCAGCCGCCCCGUCCGGGAGGGAGGUUGGGGGGUCAGCCCCCCGCCCGGCCAGCCGCCCCGUCCGGGAGGGAGGUGGGGGGGGUCAGCCCCCCUGCCCGGCCAGCCGCCCCGUCCGGGAGGUGAGGGGCGCCUCUGCCCGGCCGCCCCUACUGGGAAGUGAGGAGCCCCUCUGCCCGGCCACCACCCCGUCUGGGAGGUGUGCCCAACAGCUCAUUGAGAACGGGCCAGGAUGACAAUGGCGGCUUUGUGGAAUAGAAAGGCGGGAAAGGUGGGGAAAAGAUUGAGAAAUCGGAUGGUUGCCGUGUCUGUGUAGAAAGAAGUAGACAUGGGAGACUUUUCAUUUUGUUCUGCACUAAGAAAAAUUCCUCUGCCUUGGGUUCCUGUUGAUCUGUGACCUUACCCCCAACCCUGUGCUCUCUGAAACAUGUGCUGUGUCCACUCAGGGUUAAAUGGAUUAAGGGCGGUGCAAGAUGUGCUUUGUUAAACAGAUGCUUGAAGGCAGCAUGCUCGUUAAGAGUCAUCACCAAUCCCUAAUCUCAAGUAAUCAGGGACACAAACACUGCGGAAGGCCGCAGGGUCCUCUGCCUAGGAAAACCAGAGACCUUUGUUCACUUGUUUAUCUGCUGACCUUCCCUCCACUAUUGUCCCAUGACCCUGCCAAAUCCCCCUCUGUGAGAAACACCCAAGAAUUAUCAAUAAAAAAAUAAAUUAAAAAAAAAAAUAAAUAAAUAAAUCCAGCAAAAAUAAAAAUAAAAAAUAAAAUCCCCUUGAAUACAUUUGAGGUAAUGUUGUAGUUUUCAGCUCCUCCCACGAGAGAUUUUAUGGAGUGCCUAACUGUGCUACCCGGGUGCUGCUCCUGUCGUUAGUGGUGGCACCCAGGAGGAAUUAAAAUUACAAGAGUGUUUCCUUCCAGAUGUUGUUGCUACAGGCUCAAGGUGCUCUUUUAACUGGGACAUCAGGCUUUCUUGAAAUAGACAAGAAUUCUAGAAACAUGACAUUGUGCCUGAUUCAUCGCUUCAACUUGCCACUGACUCAUUCUCUCCUUGAUAGGUUAUUCAACAGUAACUUUAAUUACAUCAUUUACUUAUUGUUUUCUUCCUUGAUUUAUUCUCUUUCUACAAUUCUUGUUUAUCAUCUCAGUGAUUGGACCAUCUCACCUCUGAGACUUGGGUAGAAUUCUGUGGACUCUGGAAAUAGACAUGGAGGUUUUCAUGUAUCUCUGUUAAUGUGUACAAACACCCCCAGGCUUGUACACUUGAAAUACAUCAGUAGGAAGGGUAGUUCUCAAUUUGCUAGUGUUUCACACAGCUUGUCUUAUUUAAUGAUCUCAGCUGCCCUAUGAAGUAGAUACCAUCCUAUUAAAAAAUGCAGGAGCAGAGGCUCUGAGAGGGGACUGUAACUUACCCAAGAUCAUGUGGUAGAUUGCAAAACUGGUUCCAAAUCCCUACCCUUCCCUGUACGCACACCUUUUGCCAUUCAUCUGCAAUGUCCUUUUCUGAUUCUGGGCUCAGCAAUAUAACUUGCUCUGGCCAACAGGAUAACAACAGCAAAUGUGAUGUAAGCAAAAGCUUGAGAAAUACUUGUGCAACUAAUCAUGUUUGCCUUCUCUCUUGUACCUGUGCCAUUGCCAUGAGAACAUGCCUGGGCUAGGAUUAGAGACACUUGGAGCAGAGCUGAGUCAUCCCAGCUGUCCCAGUUGAGGCCAGCCUAGGUCAGUCGAUGGCAACCAAGCCCUAAGCAUGUUAGUGAGCCCAGCCAUGAUCAGCACAACCACCUAGCCAACCAUCCCAGACCUGUGAUCAAUAAAGCCUUACUAUUCCAUA
rnacentral:lncRNA from 1 species